rnacentral:rRNA from 1 species
UACGUAGGGGCCAAGCGUUGUCCGGAUUUAUUGGGCGUAAAGAGCUCGUAGGUGGCUUAGUAAGUCGGGUGUGAAACCUCCAGGCUCAACCUGGAGACGCCACCCGAUACUGCUAUAGCUUGAGUCCGGUAGGGGAGCGUGGAAUUCCUGGUGUAGCGGUGAAAUGCGCAGAUAUCAGGAGGAACACCAGCGGCGAAGGCGGCGCUCUGGGCCGGUACUGACACUGAGGAGCGAAAGCGUGGGGAGCAAACAGG